ensembl:misc_RNA
GAGUGAACUUGGCUCUCUAUUUAUCCACAGAACAGGUACAGCACAGGCAGCGGCUAUGCAAGCUUCCUUAUAGCCAGGCCAGUGACCUGGGGGAUUCACCUCUGGGGUUGAGAAGGUACUAGAACAAUAUGUUACACUUCCAUAGUGCUUUG